rnacentral:sRNA from 17 species
GUCACUGUCCAUAAAUAACUCACAGAGUUCUUUUAAAGUGACCCGCCUAAGUUCUUCGGGAACUACGUUAGGGAUGAAAAUAUAGGUACUCUCGUGAUGCUUCUCCAGUCCGAGAUUCUACG